rnacentral:rRNA from 1 species
UACGUAGGUGGCAAGCGUUACUCGGAAUCACUAGGCGUAAAGCGCAGGUAGGCGGUUUGGUAAGUCUGUUGUGAAAGCUCCCGGCUCAACUGGGAGAGGCCAACGGAAACUACCAAGCUAGAGUGCGGUAGAGGAAACUGGAAUUCCUGGUGUAGCGGUGAAAUGCGUAGAUAUCAGGAGGAACACCUAUGGCGAAAGCAGGUUUCUGGGCCAUCACUGACGCUGAGCUGCGAAAGCUAGGGGAGCAAACAGG